GGGAAUUCUACUCGCAAGUUUGCUCUGGAUAGCGAGCCCGCCACAGACUUUGAAACACUAUAUGCACUUGUGGAAUGUACUCCUGAUUUGGACCCCAAUCAAUGCACCAUCUGCCUGAAGGGACUCGUGCAAGAAAUUCCACGAUGCUGUUAUGGGAAGCGUGGAGGGAGAUACGUAGCACCCAGUUGUGAUUUAAGAUUCGAGACUACCCCUUUCUAUGACUUGAACGUUGAGGAAUCAUCGCCACUGCCACCACCACAGUUGCUUCCCCCUGCAGAAGGAAACGGAAGUAACUCAACAAGAAUUGCAAUUCUUAUAGUCCUGCCGGUUGUCGCUUCUUUUGUUCUAAUCAUAUGCAUUUGCAUCAUCUAUACAAGACUAGUGAAGAAAUCAAGGGAGCAACUUCAAAAUGAACCCAUAUAUGAAAUUAGUAGUGCUGAAGAAAGGC